AGGGUUUGAUUCUGGCUCAGGAUAAACGCUGGCGGCGUGCUUAACACAUUCAAGUCGAACGGAGUAUGUUUGGAAGCUUGCUUUUGGACAUACUUAGUGGCGGACGGGUGAGUAAUGCAUGAGCAACCUGCCUUCAAGAGGGGGAUAACACAUGGAAACGUGUGCUAAUACCGCAUAGACGUACGGACGGCAUCGUUUGUACGGGAAAGGAGCAAUCCGCUUGAAGAUGGGCUCAUGUCCGAUUAGGUUGUUGGUGAGGUAACGGCUCACCAAGCCUGCGAUCGGUAGCCGGACUGAGAGGUUGAACGGCCACAUUGGAACUGAGAUACGGUCCAG
rnacentral:rRNA from 1 species